rnacentral:lncRNA from 1 species
AUUUGUUGCUAUUUGCAAACUCCCAUAACAAAAUGCAAAGGAUAAAAAUAGGUCAUCUCCAAGGGAAUUGGCAUUUGGACUUGGCAAAGGAUAAAAAUAAAAGGUCUCCAGGCACGCGCGCUUUCCUCACGUGUGACUUUACUCGCGCAAUCAGGUUUGCAAAGUCGUCCACAACUUGGCAUUUUUGCCAAGUUUGCUCCCUCAUUUGCCAAGUUACCCAAAUUGCAAACUCCAAAUGCAAAACCGUUGGAUACCUCUU